CCCCUGCGCCGCCGCUGCCAACCCGGAAGGAGCCCGGAGGGGCCCGGACGGCCAGGGCGCCCCCGCCAGGAGGCCCGCCAGGUGUCCACCUGAGCCCCACGCCCUGCGCCGCGCGGCCCUUUUGGGGGCGGGGUGCCAGCUCCGAGGUGUCCUCCCACGGGCUGUAGACUGGGAAACUGAGGCCCGGGCCACGGUCCCAGACGCAGCCGGGACCCGAACCCACCUCACCUGAGCGAAUGAUAUCGGGGACUCAUCCUUUUUCGACACCUUUGCGGGAUCCAGCCCUCCAAGGAAAGCUUCCUGAGCAGUGCGCGCCAGGUGUAUUGGGCACCUCACCGCGGCCACUUCACAUCCUAUCUCAGGUGGAGAAACUAAGCCACAGAAAGGAGCUGUCAUUUACCUAAAGCACCGUGGCAGGGGUUUGGCAGAGCCAGGAUUUGUACCCAGAUCGCCUGACUUCGGAGAGUAUCAGCUCUUAACCACAGCACUUUGGUCUAUGCCUUGAUUUCACCAUAUGUAACAAGAGUUUCACUCUUGUUGCCCCAGCUGGAGUGUAAUGGCGUGAUCUUGGCUCACUGCAACUUCUGCCUCCCAGGUUCAAGCAAUUCUCCUGCCUCAGCCUCCCAAGUAGCUGGGAUUACAGGCAUGUGCCACCAUACCCAGCUAAUUUUGUAUUUUUAGUAGAGACAGGGUUUCUCCAUGUUGGUCAGGCUGAUCUUGAACUCCCGACCUCAGGUGAUCCACCUGCCUCGGCCUCCCAAAGUGCUGGGAUUACAGGUGUGAGCCACAGCACCCAGCCUUAAUGGACUGUUUAUGUGAUCGGUAAGCUCCCGGUCAGCAGUACGCUGUUAGUGGUAAAGUUUUUCGGGAGUCAAAAGUUAUGUGCACAUUUUUGAGUGUGCAUGAGGGGGAUCAGUGCCUUAAUCCCCAUAUUGUUCAAAUGCCAACUGUAAUAUGAUUAAUUGUGGAAAUUUUUGCAAUGUCUAAAUCAGAUAAAAAGGCUAAUUUUCUCCACAUAUAAAGAGCUUUUACAAAUCAAUAACAUUUGAUCAAUGACUUAAUAAAUGAAUAAAAGUUGUGAACAGACGACUAACUCAGAAUGAAAAGGCUUCACUCAAAAGAAAAGCAAUGUGCUUACGUGUGGUGGCUCACACCUAUGAUCCCAGCACUUUGGCAGGCCAUGGCAGGAUGAUUACUUGAGACCAGGAGUUCAAGACCAGCCUGGGCAAGAUAGCAAGACCCCUAUCUCUACAAAAAAUUUAAAAAUUAGCUGGUUGUGAUGGUGCACACCGGAGCAAGAUCGUGUCUUAAAAAAAAGAAGAAGAAGAAAGAGUAAGAGAAAAAAAAAGAAUUCAAAUGAAAAUCACAAUGCAAAGCUGAUGGUAUAUUUGCAAAGAACACAAGGAAAUUAACUACAGCAAUAUCUGCAGUAGCAAAAGACUGGAAGCAACCUAAACGCCCAUUGCAGGAGAUGAGUGAAUUAAGAGACAAGAGCUUGCCAUGUUGCCCCAGGCUGGUCUCAAACUCCUAGCCUCAAGCAAACUUCCUGUCUCGGCCUUUCAAAACCCUGAGAUUACAAGCAUAAGAAAAGAAAAUCUUGUAAGAUGAAAGCUGAAGGAUGAGAGCAAUUAAUUGAUGAAGUAUGAUGAUCCAGGUGUCCCUGGGUGAAGAAACAACCUCUACAAAGGCCCUGAGGGUCUCGCUCAUCACCAGGCUGGAGUACAGUGACAUGAUCACGGCUCACUGCAGCCUCAACCUCCCGGGUUCAGGCUAUCCUCCCACCUCAGCCUCCCAGGACCACAGGCGUGUACCACCAUGCCCAGCUAAUUUUUUGUAGCGAUGGGGUUAUGCCAUGUUGCCCAGGCUGGUCUCGAGCUGCUGGGCACAAGCAAUCUACCCAUCUCAGUCUCCCAAAGUGCUGGGAUUAUAGUCGUGAGCCACUGUGCCCAGCCAACAGCGUCUUUCAAAGAGCAGAGAGAGGUUAAUUUUGAUGAUGUCCAGUUUGCACCUUUGUUGAAAAUUGACCAUAUAUCUGUAAGUCUGUUUCUAGACUCUUUGUUCUGCUUUAUUAAACGACUUGUCUAUUUGUACA